rnacentral:rRNA from 1 species
UUUCCAGACUCCUACGGGAGGCAGCAGUGGGGGAUAUUGCACAAUGGGGGAAACCCUGAUGCAGCGACGCCGCGUGGGUGAAGAAGUAUUUCGGUAUGUAAAGCCCUAUCAGCAGGGAAGAAAGAAGACGGUACCUGACUAAGAAGCCCCGGCUAACUACGUGCCAGCAGCCGCGGUAAUACGUAGGGGGCGAGCGUUAUCCGGAUUCACUGGGUGUAAAGGGAGCGUAGACGGCCGUGCAAGCCAGGAGUGAAAGCCCGGGGCCCAACCCCGGGACUGCUCUUGGAACUGUGCGGCUGGAGUGCGGGAGGGGCAGGCGGAAUUCCUGGUGUAGCGGUGAAAUGCGUAGAUAUCAGGAGGAACACCGGCGGCGAAGGCGGCCUGCUGGACUGAAACUGACGUUGAGGCUCGAAAGCGUGGGGAGCAAACAGGAUUAGAUACCCCAGUACGA